AUUGAACGCUGGCGGCAGGCCUAACACAUGCAAGUCGAACGAGUGGCGGACGGGUGAGUAAUGUCUGGGAAACUGCACGAUGGAGGGGGAUAAAUACUGGAAACGGUAGCGAAUACCGCAUACCAUCGGAUCUGGCAAGAAGGGAUUAGCUAGUAGGUGGGGUACAGGCUCACCUAGGCUACGAUCCCUAGCUGGUCUGAGAGGAGGAGCAGCCACACUGGAACUGAGACACGGUCCAGACUCCUACGGGAGGCAGCAGUGGGGAAUAUUGCACAAUGGGCGCAAGCCUGAUGCAGCCAUGCCGCGUGUAUGAAGAAGGCCUUCGGGUUGUAAAGUACUUUCAGCGAGGAGGCGUUACUCGCAGAAGAAGCACCGGCUAACUCCGUGCCAGCAGCCGCGGUAAUAC
rnacentral:rRNA from 1 species